GUCCUUUUGCAAAGUACUAGCUGACUGCCCCACCUACUUCUGUAAUUCUGCACUUCCCUCUUCCUGCCCCUCCCACCACAUUCUUAGAGCAGAACCAGCCACUUGGCUCCAACUAGAAGUGAUCAGUUCCAUGGAGCCCAAUUCCAGGGCUUGCCGAGGGAGGCUAGAUUCUAUUCUGCUAGACCUGGGUGGGGCCUUGGAGGUCUUCUGGUCCCUCCUAUGUGAUAUGAGGAAGUGAAACCAGAGACACUGGCCCUGAACUUCUCAAUACCACAGAGAGAGUCAGUGCCAGGUCCAGGAAUGAACUGUCUGGAUUCAUUUUGAAUAAAUUCUCUUUUCCCCAUUCUUUCUGUUAUACACCAGGGUGGAAAAAGGAGCCAACUUUUCUGGAGACUCAGGACCCAUUUGGCAGAGAAGCACAUAGAAAAGCCAGAGAAUGCAGCCUGGAGAGAUGGAAGAUGCCAGUCAGGUCUCACUAGUGUCUAGGAAUGGAAGGUUUUCUCAGCAUCCAAUACCGACUGGAAGAAGCUCCUGCCAGCCAUGUAAGAAGGACAAUGUCAGGCUCUAAUCAGGGAGAGCCUUGGAGAGCUGAGGAGAUUCCCCAAUUUCUUCCUGCUCAUCAUUUUCAGUCCCUGACGUCCAUUUCCACAGAGGAAUUAGCACACUGAUGGAGGGAGCUACGGUUCGGCUGCUGUGCAGCAGUGCACUGGGUAGAUAAAGUGUGACCAGGGAAGCUGGAAGAAGACUCGAGGAGCUGUGGGGACUGCAGACAUGUUUAUUCUCUCUGGGCAGCAGCAGCAAGGAAUCUUCAAAGACUACUGAUACACUAAGACAGACAAAAGUGGCCCAUUGCCAAGUGGGCAUGCAGGCCAAGUGCUACCAAGGUCAGCAAUAUCACUGUUUACAAAACAUAAGAGAUCAAGCCCUGAGCCUUUGGAGUGGGAGCACUGACUCAAAGACCCUAGACGACCAGAGAACUAACCCUAGGAAGUAUCAAAUAGUGAGAACUCACACAAAGUAAACCACCUGAAUACAACAAUCAGCAUCACCCAACUA
rnacentral:lncRNA from 1 species